GCGGGAUUAGUUUAUCGGUAAAACUACAGUUUUCCAAACUGUUGAGAGCGGUUCGACUCCGCUAUCCCGCA
rfam:Parcubacteria bacterium C7867-003 C7867_00281, whole genome shotgun sequence.